GGGGAGCGGGAGCGGGGCCGGGGAGCGGGGCCGGGGCUCCGCGCUCCGCCCCGGGGAGGGAUCGCCUGGCUCUGCAGUGUAAAAUACAGCUUUCCAGAAUGCCAGAAAGAGGCUCAGCGGCGCAGCGGGAGGAGAGCACCGGGGGCUGCGAGAGGGGCUGGCAGCGAGGGGCUCCCGGGUGCCAAGGAGCUGCUCUGUCCUGUGCCAGGAUGGGCCACCAGAUCUGCUCCGUGGAGAGCGAAUGGGACACUCUCUACAGGAGCUGGUGUUGGGGAAGCCAGCACAGCACAGCUCCUCACCACCACUUCAGCUUUAAAAUGCAUUUUUAAAUGUGCCCUUUCCUGAUUUACUCAGUUUUACCUUUUUUUAUUCUCAGUUCCUCUCUGAGGGGGAGCAAAGCUCAGUGAGAGCUGUGCUCUGCUGAUAUUGAGUGAGAGCUGUGUUAGCUACUGUUUGUAAUUACCACUGCCAAAGAAAUCCCCAGUCUUACUGAGUGCCAUUCCGUGAGGAUCCGUGAUUUCCUGCCAGUUGCACAACUGGAUUGGGCACAGCUCAGACUUACCCGAGAGCAGCCACAACCCUCCCGAGCUCCCUGCUCCGUGAAGCUUCACCCCAGCAGAGCAGCACAAGUGCCCCAGUGACACGGGACCGUGAGGGCUGGAAGGGAGGCAAAUCCUUAUGGGAAACUGAAGGAAAACCCUGCAAACGAGCCUUGCUUAAUAAACUUUCAGUUAUGAAGUGUAAUCUCGUAAGAGACCAUUGUCAAAUAAAUUCUGCCAGUGAAAUUUA